AGGUGAAAAGUACCCCGGAAGGGGAGUGAAAGAGAACUUGAAACCGUGUGCUUACAAGUAGUCAGAGCCCGUUAAUGGGUGAUGGCGUGCCUUUUGUAGAAUGAACCGGCGAGUUACGAUCUGAUGCAAGGUUAAGCAGCAAAUGUGGAGCCGCAGCGAAAGCGAGUCUGAAUAGGGCGUUGAGUAUUUGGUCGUAGACCCGAAACCAGGUGAUCUACCCUUGGUCAGGUUGAAGUUCAGGUAACACUGAAUGGAGGACCGAACCGACUUACGUUGAAAAGUGAGCGGAUGAACUGAGGGUAGCGGAGAAAUUCCAAUCGAACUUGGAGAUAGCUGGUUCUCUCCGAAAUAGCUUUAGGGCUAGCCUCAAGUGAUGAUUAUUGGAGGUAGAGCACUGUUUGGACGAGGGGCCCCUCUCGGGUUACCGAAUUCAGACAAACUCCGAAUGCCAAUUAAUUUAACUUGGGAGUCAGAACAUGGGUGAUAAGGUCCGUGUUCGAAAGGGAAACAGCCCAGACCACCAGCUAAGGUCCCAAAAUAUAUGUUAAGUGGAAAAGGAUGUGGCGUUGCCCAGACAACUAGGAUGUUGGCUUAGAAGCAGCCAUCAUUUAAAGAGUGCGUAAUAGCUCACUAGUCGAGUGACACUGCGCCGAAAAUGUACCGGGGCUAAACAUAUUACCGAAGCUGUGGAUUGUCCUUUGGACAAUGGUAGGAGAGCGUUCUAAGGGCGUCGAAGCAUGAUCGCAAGGACAUGUGGAGCGCUUAGAAGUGAGAAUGCCGGUGUGAGUAGCGAAAGACGGGUGAGAAUCCCGUCCACCGAUUGACUAAGGUUUCCAGAGGAAGGCUCGUCCGCUCUGGGUUAGUCGGGUCCUAAGCUGAGGCCGACAGGCGUAGGCGAUGGAUAACAGGUUGAUAUUCCUGUACCACCUAGUAUCGUUUUAAU
rnacentral:rRNA from 1 species